AUUGAACGCUGGCGGCAUGCCUUACACAUGCAAGUCGAACGGUAACGCGGGGCAACCUGGCGACGAGUGGCGAACGGGUGAGUAAUAUAUCGGAACGUGCCCAGUAGUGGGGGAUAGCCCGGCGAAAGCCGGAUUAAUACCGCAUACGACCUACGGGUGAAAGGGGGGAGUCGCAAGACCUCUCGCUAUUGGAGCGGCCGAUAUCAGAUUAGCUAGUUGGUGGGGUAAAAGACUCACCAAGGCGACGAUCUGUAGCUGGUC
rnacentral:rRNA from 1 species